GCAGACGAGCAUACGGCCCACCUGAUGG
rnacentral:sRNA from 1 species